rnacentral:rRNA from 1 species
AACGAACGCUGGCGGCAUGCCUAACACAUGCAAGUCGAACGAGAUCCUUCGGGGUCUAGUGGCGCACGGGUGCGUAACGCGUGGGAAUCUGCCCUUGGGUUCGGAAUAACAGUGGGAAACUACUGCUAAUACCGGAUGAUGACUUCGGUCCAAAGAUUUAUCGCCCAGGGAUGAGCCCGCGUAGGAUUAGGUAGUUGGUGGGGUAAUGGCCUACCAAGCCGACGAUCCUUAGCNGGUCUGAGAGGAUGAUCAGCCACACUGGGACUGAGACACGGCCCAGACUCCUACGGGAGGCAGCAGUGGGGAAUAUUGGACAAUGGGCGCAAGCCUGAUCCAGCAAUGCCGCGUGAGUGAUGAAGGCCUUAGGGUUGUAAAGCUCUUUUGUCAGGGAAGAAACGGCGGAGGUUAAUACCUUCUGCUAAUGACGGUACCUGAAGAAUAAGCACCGGCUAACUACGU